UAGGGAAUCUUCCGCCAUGGACGCAAGUCUGACGGAGCAACUCCGCGUGAGUGAAGAAGGAUUUCGGUUCGUAAAACUCUGUUGUUAGAGAAGAACAGCGCAUAGAGUAACUGUUAUGCGUGUGACGGUAUCUAACCAGAAAGCCACGGCUAACUACGUGCCAGCAGCCGCGGUAAUACGUAGGUGGCAAGCGUUGUCCGGAUUUAUUGGGCGUAAAGCGAGCGAAGGCGGUUAAUUAAGUCGGCUGUGAAGGCCCCCGGCUCAACCGGGGAGGGUCAUUGGAAACUGGUUGACUGGAGUGCAGAAGAGGGGAGUGGAAUUCCAUGUGUAGCGGUGAAAUGCGUAGAUAUAUGGAGGAACACCAGUGGCGAAGGCGACUCUCUGGUCGGUAACUGACGCUGGGGCUCGAAAGCGUGGGUAGCAAACAGG
rnacentral:rRNA from 1 species